UUGUAGUCGGAAGCCGACGCUUGAAUAGUGUGGUAUGAUGAUUAAGAGCUGAAGUGAGGGUGUAGUAGGAGGAAGUGUGGCAUCUAGAUUUUUAUGGAUCAGGGGUACAGAGUUUAUACAUAAUUAAAGACAGACUAUAUGAUGUAGAUUCGAAGUUUGAAAUUGACCAUUGUUUUCUUUAGAAUACGUACUGAUAUAACCACCUAAAAUAUACAUAUUCCCAUGGUCUCUAGGUCAAAGCCGA
rnacentral:lncRNA from 1 species